rnacentral:rRNA from 1 species
CCUACGGGAGGCUGCAGUGGGGAAUAUUGGACAAUGGGGGCAACCCUGAUCCAGCCAUGCCGCGUGUGUGAAGAAGGCCCUCGGGUUGUAAAGCACUUUCAGUGAGGAAGAACGCCUGGUGGUUAAUACCCAUCAGGAAAGACAUCACUCACAGAAGAAGCACCGGCUAACUCCGUGCCAGCAGCCGCGGUAAUACGGAGGGUGCGAGCGUUAAUCGGAAUUACUGGGCGUAAAGCGCGCGUAGGUGGCUUGAUAAGCCGGUUGUGAAAGCCCCGGGCUCAACCUGGGAACGGCAUCCGGAACUGUCAAGCUAGAGGGCAGGAGAGGAAGGUAAAAUUCCCGGUGUAGCGGUGAAAUGCGUAGAGAUCGGGAGGAAUACCAGUGGCGAAGGCGGCCUUCUGGACUGACACUGACACUGAGGUGCGAAAGCGUGGGUAGCAAACAGGAUUAGAUACCCUGGUAGUC